GACGAACGCUGGCGGCGUGCCUAACACAUGCAAGUCGAGCGGGGAGAGAUUUUCGGAUUUCUCUUUAGCGGCGGACGGGUGAGUAACACGUGGGUAACCUGCCUCAAAGAGGGGGAUAGCCUUCCGAAAGGAAGAUUAAUACCGCAUAAUAUCAGGAAGCUGCAUGGCAUUCUGAUUAAAGGAGCAAUCCGCUUUAAGAUGGACCCGCGGCGCAUUAGCUAGUUGGUGAGGUAACGGCCCACCAAGGCGACGAUGCGUAGCCGACCUGAGAGGGUGAUCGGCCACAUUGGAACUGAGACACGGUCCAGACUCCUACGGGAGGCAGCAGUGGGGAAUAUUGCACAAUGGGGGAAACCCUGAUGCAGCAACGCCGCGUGAGUGAUGAAGGCCUUCGGGUCGUAAAGCUCUUUGAUCAGGGACGAUAAUGACGGUACCUGAAAAACAAGCCACGGCUAACUACGUGCCAGCCGCCGCAGUAACAC
rnacentral:rRNA from 1 species